AGAGGCUGUAGCUCAGUGGUAGAACUCCUGCUUUGAAUGCAGAAGGCCCUGGGUUCGAUUCCCAGCAUCUCUA